rnacentral:rRNA from 1 species
AUUGAACGCUGGCGGCAGGCCUAACACAUGCAAGUCGAACGGUAACAGAAAGCAGCUUGCUGCUUUGCUGACGCGUGGCGGACGGGUGAGUAAUGUCUGGGAAACUGCCUGAUGGAGGGGGAUAACUACUGGAAACGGUAGCAAAUACCGCAUAACGUCGCAAGACCAAAGAGGGGGACCUUCGGGCCUCUUGCCAUCGGAUGUGCCCAGAUGGGAUUAGCUAGUAGGGGGGGUAAAGGCUCACCUAGGCGACGAUCCCUAGCUGGUCUGAGAGGAUAACCAGCCACACUGGAACUGAGACACGGUCCAGACUCCUACGGGAGGCAGCAGUGGGGAAUAUUGCACAAUGGGCGCAAGCCUGAUGCAGCCAUGCCGCGUGGAUGAAGAAGGCCUUCGGGUUGUAAAGUACUUUCAGCGGGGAGGAAAGGAGUAAAGUUAAUACCUUUGCUCAUUGACGUUACCCGCAGAAGAAGCACCGGCUAACUCCGUG